rnacentral:rRNA from 1 species
UACGAAGGGGGCUAGCGUUGUUCGGAAUCACUGGGCGUAAAGCGCUUGUAGGCGGAUCGUUAAGUCAGGGGUGAAAUCCCGAGGCUCAACCUCGGAACUGCCUUUGAUACUGGCGAUCUUCGAGUCCGGGAGAGGUGAGUGGAACUCCGAGUGUAGAGGUGAAAUUCGUAGAUAUUCGGAAGAACACCCGUGGCGAAGGCGGCUCUCUGGGACGGUACUGACGCUGAGACGCGAAAGCGUGGGGAGCGAACAGG